rnacentral:rRNA from 1 species
GUCUGCGGCUACAGCAUCCUGAGCAUGCCCAAUCUCGUCUGAUCUGGGGAGCUAAGCAGGGUAGGACCUGGUUAGUACUUGCAUGGGAGGCAUUUCCUAUGAUGGAAAAAAAAAAAAAAAAAAGCUUUCCUUGUGAAAGCUCUGCUGCCUUCU